AUGGCUUCCCUCCUGCUGCUGCUGCAAGCCAUCAUCCGUCGUGCCGACGAGGGACGUCUCGGCACAAGGGAGGUGCCAGAGGAGGUGAAGCAGCCCAAGAUGUUCUCCCCAAACCCUCUGUUGGAGCACAAGGGAUGCAGGCUCGACGACGAUGAUGUGGAAGAAGAACGGUGGCUGGUCGCCUGCUUGCAGUGGCCCCGGACCAAUCGCCAAUCAGCUUGGAUGCAGACGAUCUGA
rnacentral:rRNA from 1 species